CUAAACAACCUGUUAAGUUUUUAGGGUCGCUGGGGUGUUCAUCGUCUCAGUCGAGGAUCUUUUUAAUUUUUUUAGAGAUUUAAUUCUUGCUUCAAGAAUCUACAUUCUGUGUUUUACUUUUAAGACUGUGAAUUAGUUCUUUGGGAUCUUCACAUAGGGGGAGGGGCUUUGGAGAAGCUGACGCCAGGGUAAUUUAUACACAAUAGCCAAUAAUAAAUAGCCAAUACACCAUGCUGAAAGUGGUAAACGGAGAUUGGAGAGUGUCUGAAAAUGGAAAAGGUCGGGAAUGUCAAAAUUGGGCUAAAGUUAUAUUUGAAUGAUCACUUUCUUCUUAGAAGCUAACUAUAAAUCAGCUACAUUCCAAGACUCUGUUUUAAAGUUAUGUACGCAGUGUUUGACACACCCUUUAAAUCACUAAAUGCAUCUUUAUUGAAUAUUUCUCGAGCAUGACAGAGUAAAGCAAUAAACGAUCAUACAAUGGAAUCGUCCGAAAAUUUGUCCCCCUAGCUGUAAAAUAAGA